rnacentral:rRNA from 1 species
GUGGGGAAUAUUGGACAAUGGGGGAAACCCUGAUCCAGCCAUGCCGCGUGAAUGAUGAAGGCCUUCGGGUUGUAAAGUUCUUUUGGAGGGGACGAUGAUGACGGUACCCUCAGAAUAAGCUCCGGCUAACUUCGUGCCAGCAGCCGCGGUAAUACGAAGGGAGCUAGCGUUGUUCGGAAUUACUGGGCGUAAAGGGCGAGUAGGCGGUUUGGUCAGUCAGAUGUGAAAGCCCAGGGCUUAACCCUGGAACUGCGUUUGAUACUGCCAAGCUUGAAUUCGGGAGAGGUGAGUGGAAUUCCCAGUGUAGAGGUGAAAUUCGUAGAUAUUGGGAAGAACACCAGUGGCGAAGGCGGCUCACUGGACCGACAUUGACGCUGAGGCGCGAAAGCGUGGGGAGCAAACAGGAUUAGAAACCCCAGUAGUCC